rnacentral:rRNA from 1 species
GACGAACGCUGGCGGCGUGCUUAACACAUGCAAGUCGAACGGAAAGGCCCUGCUUUUGUGGGGUGCUCGAGUGGCGAACGGGUGAGUAACACGUGAGUAACCUGCCCUUGACUUUGGGAUAACUUCAGGAAACUGGGGCUAAUACCUGAUAGGAGCUCCUGCUGCAUGGUGGGGGUUUGAAAGUUUCGGCGGUUGGGGAUGGACUCGCGGCUUAUCAGCUUGUUGGUGGGGUAGUGGCUUACCAAGGCUUUGACGGGUAGCCGGCCUGAGAGGGUGACCGGCCACAUUGGGACUGAGAUACGGCCCAGACUCCUACGGGAGGCAGCAGUGGGGAAUAUUGCACAAUGGGCGGAAGCCUGAUGCAGCAACGCCGCGUGCGGGAUGACGGCCUUCGGGCUGUAAACCGCUUUCGCCUGUGAUGAAGCGUGAGUGACGGUAAUGGGUAAAGAAGCACCGGCUAACUACGUG